AUUUUUGUAUCUUUUAACUUUAUUAAAUUUAUUAAAGAGGUUCAAUAGUAUCUAUGUUUUGUUUUUAGAGUUGGUUUGUAUUGAUUUAUGCUUAACAACAGAAAAUACAUUUCUGCAACAAAUUUUAGUUUUUUACACAUAAAAGUUAUGAAUAAUGUCCUAUGAAAUGGUUUAUCUAAAUCUAGAAAGUUUACACUUAAUCUGACAACAUUAAUUUGAAUAUUUUUGUUUCAGAUAGUUUAGGAAAGUUUUACUUUCCCCGUGUUUUAAUAUCUUAAACUAUUAGUUUACAGAAUUUGAUAAAAUAAAUAAAAUAAUUUCUGUAUAUUAAAAAUAUAUAGAAUUUGCAAAAUAUACAGGUUUUUCUAUUAUUGACCUGGGCCUCUGUGAAUGGAUAAGUUCUAAGUUAUCUAUGUAUAAUGAUUUUUUAAACCAAUUAAUUAGAGUGUUGCAUAUUUUUUAGAAUCUGCUGUGAAGAAAAUAUAAUAUAUAAUCAUAAAAUGUAGCUCUAAGACAACAUGAAAUUAAACAAUAAAUUGUGGUCCAUGAUAAUUGAAAUAUGUUAUGUUUGACUAAUCAUGAAUAUAACUAUUAUAUAUAUUAAUAUUCAAUCUGGCUAUUGUUAUAACACGUAUAUCGGUUUAUAUACUGUAUUGAGUUAGCUUGUGAUUUGUACGUGUGUUUUUGUUUGCCUAGUGUUUGUUAGUUAUAUGCAAGAUAUGGCAUGGUAUGGCACUCUGCACGCGUAAAAGCGGAUGAAAGCACAAAAGAAACCGAUUACGAUCAACUUUAAAGCAGAAUUUUGUCAUGCGAUUAUGGUGGCGAAAUGAGAGAACUACUGUGGCAGAAUAUUACCAUCGUAGAACAGUUUUGCAUCAAAUCAUUGUAUAAUAUUAGUUAGUUUUUUGUUGCUUAGAAAUAUUAUGAAAUUCAAA